rnacentral:rRNA from 1 species
UACGGGUGAGGCAAGCGUUGUUCGGAAUCACUGGGCUUAAAGCGCGUGUAGGCGGCUUGGUAAGUAUCUUGUGAAAUCCCUUCUCUCAAUGAAGGAACGGCGAGGUAUACUGCCGGGCUUGAGGUAGGUAGGGGUGCCUGGAACUCUAGGUGGAGCGGUGAAAUGCGUAGAUAUCUAGAGGAACGCCCGUGGCGAAAGCGGGGCACUGGGCCUUACCUGACGCUGAGACGCGAAAGCGUGGGUAGCAAACGGG